AACGAACGCUGGCGGCAUGCCAACACAUGCAAGUCGAACGAGAUCUUCGGGUCUAGUGGCGCACGGGUGCGUAACGCGUGGGAAUCUGCCCUUUGGUUCGGAAUAACAGUUGGAAACGACUGCUAAUACCGGAUGAUGACGAAAGUCCAAAGAUUUAUCGCCAGAGGAUGAGCCCGCGGAGGAUUAGCUAGUUGGUGUGGUAAAGGCGCACCAAGGCGACGAUCCUUAGCGGGUCUGAGAGGAUGAUCAGCCACACUGAGACUGAGACACGGCCCAGACUCCUACGGGAGGCAGCAGUGGGGAAUAUUGGACAAUGGGCGAAAGCCUGAUCCAGCAAUGCCGCGUGAGUGAUGAAGGCCUUAGGGUUGUAAGCUCUUUUACCCGGGAUGAUAAUGACAGUACCGGGAGAAUAAGCUCCGGCUAACUCCGUGCCAGCCGCCGCCGUAA
rnacentral:rRNA from 1 species